GUCUCUUUGGCAGAACAUUUAUUAAAAUUGGAACAAUACAGAAAUUAGCAUGUCCUUACACAAAUAUGACACCCAAAUUUGUGAAGCAUUCCAUAUUUUU
rnacentral:snRNA from 2 species